rnacentral:misc_RNA from 1 species
UAAGGCUACGGAAAGUGCAACAGAAAGUAUUCCGCGGCUUAUCUUCCUUCGGGGAGAUAGACCGACAGGGUGAAAUGUCUGUUUUAGGAACAGACCCCAUCCGGAGUAAUCCGGAUGAAGCGGCAAACCCUAUCCGGAGUAAGUCAAAGUCAGGUAAUGAGUGCUUCCGCUCUACCUGUAGUAAGACGCUUGAGGGCCUUGGCGACAAGGCUCCUAGAUGAAUAAUUUGCCGUCAAAGUUUUACUUUGAUGAACAGAACCCGGCUUAC